rnacentral:lncRNA from 1 species
CCAGAGGGGGUGCCGCCAGCGGAUGCUGGAGUAGCCCCCGAGCUGACAGCCCAAGCUCCGUCGGCUACCAUGCUGCCGGUCCCUGACCAGGCAGUCCUGGGUUUGCCUGUCGGAGGGGCUGGUAUUGCGAAGGAGGUAUCGCCAGUAGUUGCUACUGGUUCUUUGUUAUCCAAUGUGAUUGCUAGUGGUGAGUUUUCUUCCCAACUAUUUUUUGUUAGUCCGAGUUUGCUGUAGUCUUGACCCUGUUGUUUCUAGGUCUUGGCGAGAAGACAGCGCCAGCAGCUGCUCUCGUGGCGCCGAUUACUCGACCACCUAUCGCCGAGAAG